GGGAGGAUGGCCGAGUUUGGUUAUGGCGUGUGACUCAAGAAGCUUUGCAUCAAAAGUUCUUGGCCUUCUGGUUAACAGGGGCUUGUUUUCUCAUGGGGAAACCCGCGUGGGUUCGAAUCCCACUCCUCUCA
rnacentral:tRNA from 1 species